UGGGGAAUAUUGCACAAUGGAGGGAACUCUGAUGCAGCGACGCCGCGUGAGUGAUGAAGGACUUCGUUUCGUAAAACUCUGUUCUAUGGGAAGAAAAGGACUGUACCAUAGGAGAAAGCUCCGGCUAAAUACGUGCCAGCAGCCGCGGUAAUACGUAUGGAGCGAGCGUUGUCCGGAAUUAUUGGGCGUAAAGGGUGCGCAGGCGGCUUUACAAGUUGGAUGUGAAAUAUUGUGGCUCAACCACAAACGUGCAUCCAAAACUGCAAAGCUUGAGUUAAGAAGAGGUAAGUGGAAUUCCUGGUGUAGAGGUGGAAUGCGUAGAUAUCAGGAGGAAUACCGGUGGCGAAGGCGACUUACUGGACUUAAACUGACGCUCAGGCACUAAAGCGUGGGGAGCAAACAGG
rnacentral:rRNA from 1 species